CCUACGGGGGGCAGCAGUGGGGAAUUUUGGACAAUGGGCGCAAGCCUGAUCCAGCCAUGCCGCGUGUCUGAAGAAGGCCUUCGGGUUGUAAAGGACUUUUGUUAGGGAAGAAAAGGAUAGUGCUAAUACCAUUAUCUGCUGACGGUACCUAAAGAAUAAGCACCGGCUAACUACGUGCCAGCAGCCGCGGUAAUACGUAGGGUGCAAGCGUUAAUCGGAAUUACUGGGCGUAAAGCGAGCGCAGACGGUUACUUAAGCAGGAUGUGAAAUCCCCGGGCUUAACCUGGGAACUGCGUUCUGAACUGGGUAGCUAGAGUAUGUCAGAGGGGGGUAGAAUUCCACGUGUAGCAGUGAAAUGCGUAGAGAUGUGGAGGAAUACCGAUGGCGAAGGCAGCCCCCUGGGAUAAUACUGACGUUCAUGCUCGAAAGCGUGGGUAGCAAACAGGAUUAGAUACCCGGGUAGUC
rnacentral:rRNA from 1 species